rnacentral:lncRNA from 1 species
UGCAUUUUUCCCCAAUAUGUCAUAGUUUGACGUCGCGAAAAUAACAUGUUAUGUUAGCAACGUCAUUACCUCCCCUGUAACUGUAUAGUAUGCCCUUAAGAGGUACACAAAGAAUUGUCCAUGCUUCAAGAAUAGGUUUUGUUAUAAAUAUAUUGUAAAAAUGUUUGCUGCUCACUACUUCUACAAAUUAUUUUUUACAUUUUGGACAAAGCCACUUUCCCCUUGGUUUCCUUACAAUAUUAACACAUUGAUAAUUGUACCAUCCAAUAUCACACGAGUCUCCAUCACAGAAAAUCAUCUUGCCAUAUUCUGGUUCUUCACACAAGCAAUAUUUCUCUUUUGUGACAUCAUUGACUGAAGUGUUUGCUACUUUAUAAUCAUGUAACAAUUUCCUUGUAAGUAGCUCUGGGAUUAAUAGCUCUUUAACAAAGUAAGUGCACUUACUUAUUAAAGUAUUACAAAACUCAGGAUCCCUGCAAAUUCUAACAAUAGCAAGCAAGAUAACAUCAUUUGGACUUGUCAUAACAACAAAAUCACAAUAGUCAGUGUCAUAGACAAACAUUUGAAA